rnacentral:rRNA from 1 species
CUACGCUGGCGGCGUGCUUACACUGCAGUCGAACGAACUUCGGGUUAGUGGCGGACGGGUGAGUAACGCGUGAGAUCUGCCCUCAGGAGGGGGACAACAGCUGGAAUCGGCUGCUAAUACCCCAUAUGCCGCGAGGUGAAAUGAAUUUCGCCUGAGGAUGAGCUCGCGUCUGAUUAGCUAGUUGGUGUAGGUAAUGGCUCACCAAGGCAUCGAUCAGUAGCUGGUCUGAGAGGAUGAUCAGCCACACUGGGACUGAGACACGGCCCAGACUCCUACGGGAGGCAGCAGUGGGGAAUUUUCCGCAAUGGGCGAAAGCCUGACGGAGCAACGCCGCGUGAGGGAUGAAGGCCUCUGGGCUGUAAACCUCUUUUAUCAAGGAAGAAGAUCUGACGGUACUUGAUGAAUAAGCCACGGCUAAUUCCGUGCCAGCAGCCGCGGUAAUACGGGAGUGGCAAGCGUUAUCCGGAAUUAUUGGGCGUAAAGCGUCCGCCAGUGCGGCCCUUCAAGUCUGCUGUUAAAACAGUGGAACUUAACUCCAUCAUGGCAGUGGAAACUGUUGGGCUUGAGUGUGGUAGGGGCAGAGGGAAUUCCCGGUGUACGGUGAGAUGCGUAAGAUAUCGGGAAGAACACAGUGGCGAAGCGCUCUGCUGGGCA